rnacentral:rRNA from 1 species
CCCUUAGAUGUUCUGGGCCGCACGCGUGCUACACUGAACGGUUCAAUGGGUAAGGUAGUGCGAAAGCAUGACCUAAUCUCGAAAUCCGUUCGUGCUGGGGAUAGAAGCUUGCAAUUAUCCUUCUUGAACGAGGAAUACCUUGUAAGCGUGAGUCAUCAUCUCACGCUGAAUACGUCCCUGCCCUUUGUACACACCGCCCGUCGCUCCUACCGAUUGAGUGUUCCGGUGAGGCUUUGGGAGAAUGGCCUCAACAUGAGUUUAUCGUGUUUUGCCGUUUGAACUUAGUCAAACCUUAUCACCUAGAGGAAGGAGAAGUCGUAACA